rnacentral:rRNA from 1 species
GACGAACGCUGGCGGCGUGCUUAACACAUGUAAGUCGAACGGAAAGGCCCUGCUUUUGUGGGGUGCUCGAGUGGCGAACGUGUGAGUAACACGUGAGUAACCUGCCCUGGACUUUGUGAUAACUUCAGGAAACUGGUGCUAAUACCGGCUAGGAGCUCCUGCUGCAUGGUGGGGGUUGGAAAGUUUAGGCGGUUGGGGAUGGACUCGCGGCUUAUCAGCUUGUUGGUGGGGUAGUGGCUUACCAAGGCUUUGACGGGUAGCCGGCCUGAGAGGGUGACCGGCCACAAUGGGACUGAGAUACGGACCAGACUCGUACGGGAGGCAGUAGUGGGGAAUAUGGCACAAUGGGCGGAAGCCUGAUGAAGAAACGCCGGGAGCGGGAUGACGGCUAUCGGGGUGUAAACCGCUUUAGCCUGUGACGAAGCGUGAGUGACGGUACUGGGUAAAGAAGCACCGGCUAACUACGUG